UACGAAGGGGGCUAGCGUUUGUGACGUCGGAAUCACUGGGCGUAAAGGGCGCGUAGGCGGCCGAAUUAAGUCGGGGGUGAAAGCCCUGUGGCUCAACCACAGAAUUGCCCUUCGAUACUGGUUGGCUUGAGACCGGAAGAGGACAGCGGAACUGCGAGUGUAGAGGUAGUAAAUUCGUAGAUAUUCGCAAGAACACCGAG
rnacentral:rRNA from 1 species